CACUAUCGUUAACUGAAUACAUAGGUUAACGAGGCGAACCGGGGGAACUGAAACAUCUAAGUACCCCGAGGAAAAGAAAUCAACCGAGAUUCCCCCAGUAGCGGCGAGCGAACGGGGAGCAGCCCAGAGUCUGAAUCAGCUUGUGUGUUAGUGGAACGGUCUGGAAAGUCCGACGGUACAGGGUGAUAGUCCCGUACACCAAAAUGCACAGGCUGUGAACUCGAAGAGUAGGGCGGGACACGUGGUAUCCUGUCUGAAUAUGGGGGGACCAUCCUCCAAGGCUAAAUACUCCUGACUGACCGAUAGUGAACCAGUACCGUGAGGGAAAGGCGAAAAGAACCCCGGCGAGGGGAGUGAAAAAGAACCUGAAACCGUGUACGUACAAGCAGUGGGAGCACCUUCGGGUGUGACUGCGUACCUUUUGUAUAAUGGGUCAGCGACUUAUAUUCUGUAGCAAGGUUAACCGUAUAGGGGAGCCGCAGGGAAACCGAGUCUUAACUGGGCGUUAAGUUGCAGGGUAUAGACCCGAAACCCGGUGAUCUAGCCAUGGGCAGGUUGAAGGUUGGGUAACACUAACUGGAGGACCGAACCGACUAAUGUUGAAAAAUUAGCGGAUGACUUGUGGCUGGGGGUGAAAGGCCAAUCAAACCGGGAGAUAGCUGGUUCUCCCCGAAAGCUAUUUAGGUAGCGCCUCGUGAACUCAUCUUCGGGGGUAGAGCACUGUUUCGGCUAGGGGGUCAUCCCGACUUACCAACCCGAUGCAAACUACGAAUACCGAAGAAUGUUAUCACGGGAGACACACGGCGGGUGCUAACGUCCGUCGUGAAGAGGGAAACAACCCAGACCGCCAGCUAAGGUCCCAAAGUCAUGGUUAAGUGGGAAACGAUGUGGGAAGGCACAGACAGCCAGGAUGUUGGCUUAGAAGCAGCCAUCAUUUAAAGAAAGCGUAAUAGCUCACUGGUCGAGUCGGCCUGCGCGGAAGAUGUAACGGGGCUAAACCAUGCACCGAAGCUGCGGCAGCGACACUAUGUGUUGUUGGGUAGGGGAGCGUUCUGUAAGCCUGCGAAGGUGACCUGUGAGGGUUGCUGGAGGUAUCAGAAGUGCGAAUGCUGACAUAAGUAACGAUAAAGCGGGUGAAAAGCCCGCUCGCCGGAAGACCAAGGGUUCCUGUCCAACGUUAAUCGGGGCAGGGUGAGUCGACCCCUAAGGCGAGGCCGAAAGGCGUAGUCGAUGGGAAACAGGUUAAUAUUCCUGUACUUGGUGUUACUGCGAAGGGGGGACGGAGAAGGCUAUGUUAGCCGGGCGACGGUUGUCCCGGUUUAAGCAUGUAGGCUGAUUGUCCAGGCAAAUCCGGAUAAUCAAGGCUGAGGUGUGAUGACGAGGCACUACGGUGCUGAAGUAACAAAUGCCCUGCUUCCAGGAAAAGCCUCUAAGCAUCAGGUAACAUCAAAUCGUACCCCAAACCGACACAGGUGGUCAGGUAGAGAAUACCAAGGCGCUUGAGAGAACUCGGGUGAAGGAACUAGGCAAAAUGGUGCCGUAACUUCGGGAGAAGGCACGCUGGUGUGUAGGUGAAGCCCCUGCGGGUGGAGCUGAGACCAGUCGAAGAUACCAGCUGGCUGCAACUGUUUAUUAAAAACACAGCACUGUGCAAACACGAAAGUGGACGUAUACGGUGUGACGCCUGCCCGGUGCCGGAAGGUUAAUUGAUGGGGUUAUCCGUAAGGAGAAGCUCUUGAUCGAAGCCCCGGUAAACGGCGGCCGUAACUAUAACGGUCCUAAGGUAGCGAAAUUCCUUGUCGGGUAAGUUCCGACCUGCACGAAUGGCGUAAUGAUGGCCAGGCUGUCUCCACCCGAGACUCAGUGAAAUUGAACUCGCUGUGAAGAUGCAGUGUACCCGCGGCAAGACGGAAAGACCCCGUGAACCUUUACUAUAGCUUGACACUGAACAUUGAGCCUUGAUGUGUAGGAUAGGUGGGAGGCUUUGAAGCGUGGACGCCAGUCUGCGUGGAGCCAACCUUGAAAUACCACCCUUUAAUGUUUGAUGUUCUAACGUUGGCCCCUGACCGGGGUUGCGGACAGUGUCUGGUGGGUAGUUUGACUGGGGCGGUCUCCUCCCAAAGCGUAACGGAGGAGCACGAAGGUUAGCUAAUCCUGGUCGGACAUCAGGAGGUUAGUGCAAUGGCAUAAGCUAGCUUGACUGCGAGCGUGACGGCGCGAGCAGGUGCGAAAGCAGGUCAUAGUGAUCCGGUGGUUCUGAAUGGAAGGGCCAUCGCUCAACGGAUAAAAGGUACUCCGGGGAUAACAGGCUGAUACCGCCCAAGAGUUCAUAUCGACGGCGGUGUUUGGCACCUCGAUGUCGGCUCAUCACAUCCUGGGGCUGAAGUAGGUCCCAAGGGUAUGGCUGUUCGCCAUUUAAAGUGGUACGCGAGCUGGGUUUAGAACGUCGUGAGACAGUUCGGUCCCUAUCUGCCGUGGGCGCUGGAGAAUUGAGGGGGGCUGCUCCUAGUACGAGAGGACCGGAGUGGACGCAUCACUGGUGUUCGGGUUGUCAUGCCAAUGGCACUGCCCGGUAGCUAAAUGCGGAAGAGAUAAGUGCUGAAAGCAUCUAAGCACGAAACUUGCCCCGAGAUGAGUUCUCCCUGAGACUUUAAGUCUCCUGAAGGAACGUU
rnacentral:rRNA from 1 species